ensembl:lncRNA
CUCAGGUUGAGCUGUCAGCGGGGCUUAGAUGGUGGAAGAGAGCUGGGAGGCGAUGUUUUCUUAAAGCUGCAGAUGAAUUUGAUCCUGCUUAUGCGCGCUGAGUGGGAGGAAGAGACUCCCGCGCUGCCGAGCUGUUUGUUUACGUUCAGCUUCUGAGAGGAUCUGUAGUUUGGACUCUCAUUCUGACGGCACCCAUUCACUGCAGAGGAUCCAUUGCUGAGCAAGUGAUGUAAUGCUACAUUUCCCCAAAUCUGAUGAAGAAACAAACUCUUCUAAAUCUUGGAUGACCUAAGGAGUCUGACUUUGAGCAAAAAUGCUACAUGCUGCGUGAAUCUGUUGCAACAUCAUAAGAGCAUUGACUUUGACUUCACAUCAGAGCAGUGAACACCAGUGUCCAGACGUUCCUUUGAGCCCCGGAUUAAUUUCCAUCAUACUCAGCCGCAUGGAGAAGGUGCCCCAGCUGAGGAACAGAUGACUCGCGCUCUUAACAGGUGCUCAGACACUCAGCAGGCCUCAUGCUUCGGGGGAUCAAAGCGCGGCUGCAGAAACUGCAAGCCCCUGUAAUUGCGUACAAUGAGCUGGCGAGUCGGCCGGUCCAGGUGCUAUUUGAACAGGUGUAUUUGCAUGUCACAAUACAGAUGGCAUAGGCCUUCAUGGCCUUGAUCACGAUUCGAGCACAAUUUAC